rnacentral:rRNA from 1 species
UGCCAGCAGCCGCGGUAAUACGGAGACCUCGAGCGUUACUCGGAUUCACUGGGCGUAAAGGGUGCGCAGGCUGUAUGGUAUGUCAGGUGUGAAAUCCCGGGGCUCAACUCCGGAACUGCGCCUGAAACUACCAAACUAGAGACUCGGAGAGGUAAGCGGAACUCCAGGUGUAGCGGUGAAAUGCGUAGAUAUCUGGAAGAACACCAAUGGCGAAGGCAGCUUACUGGACGAGAUCUGACGCUCAUGCACGAAAGCGUGGGGAGCGAAAGGGAUUAGAUA